rfam:Aedes aegypti strain Liverpool supercont1.16 genomic scaffold, whole genome shotgun sequence.
UGCCCAGCAACUCCUAUCCCUAUCUCCUCGCGGUACUGGCCGGGGUACGAGUAACCUUAGGGAAGAUCGGGUAACCAACUCCCGGUGGGAACUUUGGCCGUAUGCUGACAGGGAAUUGG